rnacentral:rRNA from 1 species
ACGAACGCUGGCGGCGUGCUUAACACAUGCAAGUCGAACGGAAAGGCCCUGCUUUUGUGGGGUGCUCGAGUGGCGAACGGGUGAGUAACACGUGAGUAACCUGCCCUUGACUUUGGGAUAAUUCCAGGAAACUGGGGCUAAUACCGGAUAGGAGCUCCUGCUGCAUGGUGGGGGUUGGAAAGUUUCGGCGGUUGGGGAUGGACUCGCGGCUUAUCAGCUUGUUGGUGGGGUAGUGGCUUACCAAGGCUUUGACGGGUAGCCGGCCUGAGAGGGUGACCGGCCACAUUGGGACUGAGAUACGGCCCAGACUCCUACGGGAGGCAGCAGUGGGGAAUAUUGCACAAUGGGCGGAAGCCUGAUGCAGCAACGCCGCGUGCGGGAUGACGGCCUUCGGGUUGUAAACCGCUUUCGCCUGUGACGAAGCGUGAGUGACGGUAAUGGGUAAAGAAGCACCGGCUAACUACGUG